GACGAACGCUGGCGGCGUGCCUAAUACAUGCAAGUCGAACGAGAGCAACCGGUGCUUGCACUGGUCAAUCUAGUGGCGAACGGGUGAGUAACACGUGGGUAACCUGCCCAUCAGAGGGGGAUAACAUCCGGAAACGGAUGCUAAAACCGCAUAGGUCUUCGAACCGCAUGGUUUGAAGAGGAAAAGAGGCACAAGCUUCUGCUGAUGGAUGGACCCGCGGUGCAUUAGCUAGUUGGUGAGGUAACGGCUCACCAAGGCCGUGAUGCAUAGCCGACCUGAGAGGGUGAUCGGCCACAUUGGGACUGAGACACGGCCCAAACUCCUACGGGAGGCAGCAGUAGGGAAUCUUCCGCAAUGGACGCAAGUCUGACGGAGCAACGCCGCGUGAGUGAAGAAGGUUUUCGGAUCGUAAAACUCUGUUGUUAGAGAAGAACAAGUGCUAGAGUAACUGUUAGCGCCUUGACGGUAUCUAACCAGAAAGCCACGGCUAACUACGUG
rnacentral:rRNA from 1 species